GAUGAAGAACGCAGCGAAAUGCGAUAAGUAAUGUGAAUUGCAGAAUUCAGUGAAUCAUCGAAUCUUUGAACGCACCUUGCGCUCCUUGGUAUUCCGAGGAGCAUGCCUGUUUGAGUGUCAUGAAAUUCUCAACCUUUUCAGCUUUCUUUGUUGAUCAGGCUUGGAUGUGGGAGUAUGCGGCCUUCUCAGAAGUCGGCUCUCCUGAAAUGCAUUAGCGGGACCUUUGUUGCCUGGCUUUGGUGUGAUAAUUAUCUACGCCAUUGUAGUCAAGCAGCUUAAAAUGAGGUUUCAGCUUCUAACCGUCUCCCCUGAGACAACUUUUUGACAAUUUGACCUCAAAUCAGGUAGGACUACCCGCUGAACUUAAGCAUAUCAAUAAGCGGAGGA
rnacentral:misc_RNA from 1 species